rnacentral:rRNA from 1 species
GACGAACCGUACGAACGUUAUUCGGAAUCACUGGGCUUAAAGGGUGCGUAGGCGGCGCAGUAAGUUGGGUGUGAAAUCCCUCGGCUUAACCGAGGAAUUGCGCCCAAAACUACUGUGCUCGAGGGAGGUAGAGGUGAGCGGAACUUAGGGUGGAGCGGUGAAAUGCGUUGAUAUCCUAAGGAACACCAGUGGCGAAAGCGGCUCACUGGGUCUCUUCUGACGCUGAGGCACGAAAGCUAGGGGAGCGAACGGG